rnacentral:lncRNA from 1 species
UGGCUCAGUCCCAGCAGACAUCUUCAGGCAGUGUGGCGCAGCCAGCAGCUCCAGCCAUGACUCAGGCCAGUGGCAGAGGCAGAGGGAGAGGGGCAGCCUCUUCUUCAGCGGGUUUCAGAGGUGAAGGUCCAUCAGCUCCGGCACGGAUCUUCACAAUGACACAGCAGGAGGCAGAUGCAUCUAACACCGUGGUGACAGGUAACUUAAUUAUUGGUUGUUCAGAUGUAUAUGCCUUGAUGGACCCUGGUGCAUCUCAUUCUUUUAUCGCUCCGAGAGCCGU